CAUUGCUCAAGUUGCCACUUUUAGGGACCUAAACAAACAAAAUGCUACAGAAAUAUAUUAAUAUUAAGGAAAAUAUUGAAUGUCAAAAUGGGAUCAAGAAAUAAAAAAACCGAAACCUACUAAGUAUCAAAAAAUCCAAUUCGAAUCGCGUUUUUUGGUUAUGAGAUCAAAUUAAGUCAGAGUCUUUGAUAAUGGGGCCAAGUCGAGUCUCAAAGUCUUCAGAAUAUGAACUCCAGUCCAAGUUGAGUCGCAAGUCUCGAAUCCUAUCCACCACCUCUUGUGAAAAUAAACUUGCCAAUUAAUACUUUGGACAUUCAAAUAUUCUACUCAUGCGGGGUACAAAGUCGGAUUUUCUACGUUAUUCGUCUCUUCUAAUAAUUGCAUUAUGAAAUUUUAAUAUAUCUCAUCAAAUAUGAGAUAUGAAUGUUAUGCAUCUGUCAUAGUAUUUUGAUAUUAAAGUAUAUAUAAUUAA
rnacentral:lncRNA from 1 species